rnacentral:rRNA from 1 species
AAUAGAUACCCCGGUAGUCCACGCCGUAAACGAUGAGUGCUAAGUGUUGGGGGGUUUCCGCCCCUCAGUGCUGCAGCUAACGCAUUAAGCACUCCGCCUGGGGAGUACGGUCGCAAGACUGAAACUCAAAGGAAUUGACGGGGGCCCGCACAAGCGGUGGAGCAUGUGGUUUAAUUCGAAGCAACGCGAAGAACCUUACCAGGUCUUGACAUCCCGGUGACCACUAUGGAGACAUAGUUUCCCCUUCGGGGGCAACGGUGACAGGUGGUGCAUGGUUGUCGUCAGCUCGUGUCGUGAGAUGUUGGGUUAAGUCCCGCAACGAGCGCAACCCUUAUUCUUAGUUGCCAUCAUUCAGUUGGGCACUCUAAGGAGACUGCCGGUGAUAAACCGGAGGAAGGUGGGGAUGACGUCAAAUCAUCAUGCCCCUUAUGACCUGGGCUACACACGUGCUACAAUGGACGGUACAAACGGUUGCCAACCCGCGGAGGGGGAGCUAAUCCGAUAAAACCGUUCUCAGUUCGGAUUGUAGGCUGCAACUCGCCUACA